CACGUAGGGCGCAAGCGUUGUCCGGAAUUAUUGGGCGUAAAGAGCUCGUAGGCGGUCUGUUGCGUCUGCUGUGAAAACCCGGGGCUUAACCCCUGGCUUGCAGUGGAUACGGACAGACUAGAGGUAGGUAGGGGAGAAUGGAAUUCCCGGUGUAGCGGUGAAAUGCGCAGAUAUCGGGAGGAACACCGGUGGCGAAGGCGGGUCUCUGGGCC
rnacentral:rRNA from 1 species